rnacentral:lncRNA from 1 species
UAGUGGCGCAAUCUGGGAUCACCGCAACCUCCACAUCCCAGGUUCAAGCAAUUCUCCUGCCUCAGCCUCCCGAGUGGCUGGAUUAUAGGCGUGCGCCACCACACCCGGCUAAUUUUUUGUAUUUUUAGUAGAGACGGGGUUUCUCCAUGUUGGCCAGACUGGUCUCGAACUCCCAACUUCAGGUGAUCCACCUGCUUCAGCCUCCCUUACCUUGCUAUGCAGCAGCAGAGAGGAUAGGGAGGAACAUUUGAGAAGGCAGGAACAACAUGUGCAAAGGCCUUUGGCAGGAGGGAGCAUGCCUGGGGCCCUGAAGGCUGGUGUGGCUUCCUGGUACCCCGCUUCUAGGCCACUGUGUUCUGAGUGCCUGCUGCCCUGGCCUGGUGUGUGGCCCUCCACACCCAUUCCCACCUCCUCCUCCUGUGCCUUCCUGACCUGCAGGGGCUAGGAAGCUGAAGGGGAGUGAUGUAGCCACAGAAGAAACACGUG